rnacentral:rRNA from 2 species
GUGACCUCAAAUCAGGUAGGACUACCCGCUGAACUUAAGCAUAUCAAUAAGCGGAGGAAAAGAAACUAACAAGGAUUCCCCUAGUAACUGCGAGUGAAGCGGGAAAAGCUCAAAUUUAAAAUCUGGCAGUCUCUGGCUGUCCGAGUUGUAAUCUAGAGAAGCGUUAUCCGCGCUGGACCGUGUACAAGUCUCCUGGAAUGGAGCGUCAUAGAGGGUGAGAAUCCCGUCUUUGACACGGACUGCCAGGGCUUUGUGAUGCGCUCUCAAAGAGUCGAGUUGUUUGGGAAUGCAGCUCAAAAUGGGUGGUAAAUUCCAUCUAAAGCUAAAUAUUGGCGAGAGACCGAUAGCGAACAAGUACCGUGAGGGAAAGAUGAAAAGAACUUUGGAAAGAGAGUUAAACAGUACGUGAAAUUGCUGAAAGGGAAACGCUUGAAGUCAGUCGCGUUGGCCAGGGAUCAACCUUGCUUUUGCUUGGUGUACUUUCUGGUUGACGGGUCAGCAUCAAUUUUGAUCAUUGGAAAAAGGUUGUAGGGAAUGUGGCAUCUUCGGAUGUGUUAUAGCCCUUCACUGCAUACAAUGGUUGGGAUUGAGGAACUCAGCACGCCGCAAGGCCGGGUUUUAACCACGUACGUGCUUAGGAUGCUGGCAUAAUGGCUUUAAUCGACCCGUCUUGAAACACGGACCAAGGAGUCUAACAUGCCUGCGAGUGUUUGGGUGGAAAACCCGAGCGCGCAAUGAAAGUGAAAGUUGAGAUCCCUGUCGUGGGGAGCAUCGACGCCCGGACCAGACCUUUUGCGACGGUUCCGCGGUAGAGCAUGUAUGUUGGGACCCGAAAGAUGGUGAACUAUGCCUGAAUAGGGUGAAGCCAGAGGAAACUCUGGUGGAGGCUCGUAGCGAUUCUGACGUGCAAAUCGAUCGUCAAAUUUGGGUAUAGGGGCGAAAGACUAAUCGAACCAUCUAGUAGCUGGUUCCUGCCGA